rnacentral:rRNA from 1 species
AAUGAACGCUGGCGGCAGGCCUAACACAUGCAAGUCGAAUGGAUCCUUCGGGAUUAGUGGCGGACGGGUGAGUAACGCGUGGGAACAUACCCUUUGGUACGGAAUAGCCUCGGGAAACUGGGAGUAAUACCGUAUGUGGUCGAGAGACGAAAGAUUUAUCGCCAAAGGAUUGGCCCGCGUUGGAUUAGGUAGUUGGUGGGGUAAUGGCCUACCAAGCCGACGAUCCAUGGCUGGUUUGAGAGGAUGAUCAGCCACACUGGGACUGAGACACGGCCCAGACUCCUACGGGAGGCAGCAGUGGGGAAUUUUAGACAAUGGGGGAAACCCUGAUCUAGCUAUGCCGCGUGAUCGAUGAAGGCCUUAGGGUUGUAAAGAUCUUUCAGGUGGGAAGAUAAUGACUGUACCACCAGAAGAAGCCCCGGCUAACUCCGUGCCAGCCGCCGCAGUAA